GACGGUGAAUAUGACUGUGGGACCACUGACGAGAGCGACGAGGAAAACUGCGGGGAGUGCGAUGAUGUACGUGAAUAUGACUGUGGAGGAAGGGGAUUCUGCAUUCCACUCUCUCGUGUUUGCGACGGCCAUGAUGACUGUGGAGAUAUGUCAGACGAGUCGGAUUGCCAUGGGUGCGUCUGCCCAUCAUCUAGGUUCACGUGUGGUGAUUGCUCGUGUAUAAGUCUAUGGGAUGUAUGUGAUGGAUUCUCAGAUUGC